rnacentral:ncRNA from 1 species
AAAAAAGCAGUGAUUAGGAGUAGUAAUAUAACUAAUAGUCUUAAGAGAGCUACUGGUUGGUGUAAAGUAGUGAUAUUAAAUAUGAACUUACCUAUAAGCUUACUUGAUAAAAGCAAGUACGUAUUUCUACGUUACAGAUUAAAGUGAAAAUAAUUUUAAUUAUUUUAACAAGAGUGGUACCGCGGAAUUUACCUUUCGUCUCUUUA